UUUACAUUGUCAUGGUGGAUAGGGAGCUGAUGGUGAUGGCACAAGUGCCACAUCUACCAUUCCAGGGGGAAAAAAUAUUUGGGAGUUCAAAAUUUUUGCCACUUUCAAGGUCAAUGGCAAGCUUGCUGGCUCAGUCAUAGCAAUUAUCUUUAACCAGUAAUUUAGGAAAUUAUGAAAUCCUCCUGUGAUGUACAUUGAGUACUUGUAUCAUAGUUGUUAAAAGCAUGCCUGAGGUGCGCCUAGGCGCGAGGCGAGGAAGCCAGCGCCUCAUCCCAUGCGAGGCGAGGCGACCUGCAAGAGGUACGAUGAGGCGCACAGGGGCGCCAGGCGACGUGAGGCGUGCCUUGAAAUUUUUGAGCCUGUUAAAUAAAGAAAUAGCCGGAGGCCAGAGCCCUAGCCCUCAUUUGACUCGAACCAACAGGAGCCCUAGCCCUCUCCGACCCUUCGAAGCCCCACGACCCUUUGCGAGUUCAUCUUGCACAUUUCGAACCAGCAUGAGCCUUCGCGAGCUUGUCUUCGAGCCUUCAAACCAGCAGCAUGAGUUUGUCUUCGACAUUUCAAGUCAGCACAACCCUUCGUGAGUUCGCCUUCCACAUUUCGAACCAGCAGGAGCCUUAGCGAGUUUGUUUGCAAGCCUUCGAACAAGCAGCGUGAGUUCGUCUUUGACAUUUCGAACCAGCAGCAAGCUUGUCUUUGAGCCUUUGAGAUGCUGUUUUGUUGGAUUCUAUUUUGAGCUUCUUGGUUAGUCUGCCUUGGUGCUGGAAAGAAAUCUCUUAAUCACCCAGAAUGGAUGCUGAAGCUGGACAUGUGUAUUUUGGAAAACAAAGAAAGCGAAGACUAUGACUGAAAAGAUAAGAAGGCUAAGAGCCUAAGAAUUUGAGGGGUGAAAAUGUUCUUCAAGAGGAAGUGUAAGCCCACCUCCAGGUUCACCUUGCAUGCGUAUUCGAACUGAAAGACAUCAUGAUAGCGUGCGGUGUUCGUGCCGAUGAAUGAAGAAGUUUUGUGUUGUAUUUGUAAUUUUUUUUUUUUCAUUUUCUUUAUUCUAGGAUGUAAUAUUAUUAUGGAUUGUACACUCCUAUGACUUGUAAUAAUUUGCAUCAUGUAUGAUAGGUAGGUAUGCUUAAACAGACCCUAGU